rnacentral:rRNA from 1 species
CAGUAGCCGCGGGAAUACGUAGGGUGCGAGCGUUAAUCGGAAUUACUGGGCGUAAAGCGUGCGUAGGCGGUGAGUUAAGUCUGCUGUGAAAUCCCCGGGCUCAACCUGGGAAUGGCAGUGGAUACUGGCUCGCUAGAGUGUGUCAGAGGAUGGUGGAAUUCCCGGUGUAGCGGUGAAAUGCGUAGAGAUCGGGAGGAAUACCGGUGGCGAAGGCGGCCCCCUGGACAAAGACUGACGCUCAGGUGCGAAAGCGUGGGGAGCAAACAGGAUUAGAUACCCCUGUAGUCCCUGUCUCUUAUAC